GUUGCAACAAAAAAGAAAACUAUUUCAGACGAAGCUGCUGUAAUCUUGCAGGCAAAACUGAAGCAGUUAGCACCUGCUAGUUCCUCCUGAUUGCUGUAAUAUUUUAUUUAAUUAUUCAAUUUAUGGCUUAGGGAAAGAACUGCUUUGUUAAACUGUCAUCUGCAUAACAAGUCAAGUGCUUGUUUUUCUGUGCUUUGUUUCAUUCAGAACCAGGGAUGGUCUUCUCAGCUGAAAUCAAAUCAGACUUGGAUGUAGGUAUUCAGAUAUAUCAAUGUUGACAUGUAAUACACAGUGGGACGAUACUUUUAUUACCUUUACAAGUUAGUUGCGGUAAUCAUGUUUUUCACAUUCUACCUCUUGCCCCACCUUGUUUCUUCUGGUUUUUCAAGUUGAAUAUGGUUACAUCAUUUUGUUUAUCUAUGCCUUGUUUUGCUUUGCUAUAUCAUUUAUAUUCAUACCAACUGCUGGUAGUAUCAUUUGGAGCCUAAGUAAAACAAAUUAGAAGGUUGGAACUUCCAAAUUUGAAACAUUGCAUGUCAUGGUAUAUCGGCUUUAAGCAGCUGCGUCAUGUUGUUCAAGCAAUCUCAAGGAUGGAGAGACCAAUCAAAUACAACUACAAAAGCAACAGAUCGAAAGGAAUGUUCUUGCAUCCACACAAUUACACGAAUUGGAAUUUAGGACAAUAACAUAGAGAUAAAAGUUCAUCUCAAAGUUAAUAAAUCACCACAAUGUAGAAAUCCUCAGCACGUAGCAGAGCAGCAAAGUAAUCUUUGUAGGUAGAUCAAAGACAAUGACUUUUUGAAAACUUCAGGCUCAAUAUCUUUCUUGACCAGCCUCUUAAGGAUGAUGAAGUUGGCAUGGUGGGAGAUUGACAUGGACGACAUGAAGAUGGAGAUGGCUUAGCUGACAAUCGAGGAUGAUCAGAAGUAAAUGGAGGCGCUGCAAGUGAAGCUACAGAUUGACGAUGCUGUCGUAGAGAAUGAUGAGGAUGUUUUGUGAGAAGGAAUUGAAGUUUCAGUUGGAGAUAGAAGCGGCUAGAAGAAGCUAAUGCAGGUUUAGCGAACAAGAGCUAUUUUUUUUUUUUUUUCACGCUUUUGCGGGUUUCUAAUCCGUAAUUAAAGAUAUAAAAGAUUCUAACGUCAAAACAUCAUUGCACCCAUCAGAAACAUGCCUCCAAAUCCAAUCUUAGUCGUCAAGAUAAUUCUACUGGCAAAUAUUGAAGUACACAAGUUCUAUUCUGAUAAUUACAACAGAACUAAUCUGUCGUAGCAUAAGAACAUAAUUAAUAAUCCAGGGAUGGAGUACUGUGACCUGUAUACAAUUUAUGAAGAUUUUAAUUUUUGUUAAUCUACGAGAAUGAAAGCAAUCAAUCAUCGCGGAAUUGGACUGCAUGAAUUAGACAGAGCAACAAGUGCAAAAGCAACGGAUCGAAGAAAUGUUCUUACAUUCACGCAUUUACAACAAGGCACAGUAGUAACAAAUUCAUGAGAAGUAAAUUAAGUUCUAAUAGAGGCUAUUGUUACUGCAGUACUCAAAGUUUACAGCAUAGUAAUGAACAUGGGAUCGAAAUUGCCAUAGGUCUUGGUGGCAUGAAGUCUUUCAAAAUAUGACACACUUAAUCCAUUCUUCCUAGCAAUAUCGGAGCGGACCCAACUCGUACGGUUAUUGGGAGCACCGGUGAGUAUCACGGUCGUGUUCUCAUUAGCCAAAUUUGUGAGAGCUAUCAUUGUCUCGGGCUCAGUAGCAGAUGAGGCAUCAAGAAGAAAAAUGUGACUAAAAUGUCCAGCAGUUAUGCCCUCGUUGUGGAGGCGAAAGCUGCUUGUAAAAGUUGAGAAUAUUACCCUGAAUUGCAUCAAUUCCUGAAGUGAAGGCAAUUGAAAACCCUUCCCCUCUUCAUAAAGGCACGAGGGGAGGAUGUCAACUGGUACCUCAUCUACCUCUCUGAAUGCAGCGUUGGCUCGAAACAUAUCAGACUUUGGAAUCUUCUUCUUCAAACUUCUCAUUAGUACAUCACCUGUUCUAUUUAUAGGAGCACAGACUAGAAUUCGACACUGAGAUGACCUCUUAUAAAUUUCAAGUACUGCUUCUUGAACAACCAAUCCAGUUUUGGAUAGAUUGUCACUAGUUGCACAGAGUGGACCCUCUACAAGAUAAGGUGGCCUCCCAUGUAAGCUUAGGAUCCGACGAACUGCAGAGUUGCCAUCUGAGUCAAGGUUACGAUUACCAUAAAGACAAGUUUCUGAGGAACUGAUGUUCUUUCUAGAGGUAAAAUCAGGAAACAGGUAGUUCUCAAAUAAAGAACGUGAUGCAGCUGCAAUUGCUUGGUGAGCUCGUUUCAAACAGACUCGGUUGAAUGAGAAGCUAAUAUCGUAUCUGUACUUUGGAUGAUGCAGUGAAUAAAAAUCUUCUUCAAACUCAACCAACACUACGUUGCUCUUCACCACCCGGUAAAGAAUACCCUGGACAGGAUUUGAGAAAACAAAUAUUCGGGAAAUUAAGGAGAUAUUUUCCGAAGAUAUUCAACCAGAAAAACAAAAUGUCUGGAUAUCCAAGGACUAGGUGACACAGUACAUUUAACUUUAUAUGGAUUCUUUCAGGAUUAACCUGUUGCUCAUCAAUGAAUACUUUCUCUCUGUAUCACAUGACUGGGAAAAGAUAAAAUGAAUUCUGAAAAGGAAAUAACAUUGUUGGCUGAUGCUUUGUUGAGCCGCUAAACAGGCCGGAUGUCCUCAAACAAAAACUAUAACAUGAUCUUACACACCGGCCUUUUGUUCCUCAUCUAAAGUUCAAACUGAGCAAUAGUUUGCAUUAAGUAGGUUUGCAGAAUUUCAAAUGGCAUAAUUUAUAAAUUAUAUUGAUAGCUGCGACUAGAAUUAUAUUCCAAAAAUUUGAAAGCAUAAGGAGAAAGAAGCAUAAAAUAGAUUCUCAAUUUGGCAGAAGAUAUGAAUAUUUAUCACUAAAAGAGAUUCUACAAAUUAUUAGUUUGAAAGAUCAGGAUACUUACUUGAAACUUCUUGGAUGUGCCACCUGAACGUUGUGCAUAAACAAAAUCUCUAGAUAAAAGAAAGGGUCGCCUCUCAGGAACAGAAUCAAUUUCAAAGGCUACAAAGAGUUUAUCAUCCGUUUCAUAACUCUCCUCCAGAUUCUUGUUCUUGAGUGACUUAUCAUAUAUUGCUGCUUUAUGCAACUCCAAUGUGACAUUGAAUAACUGAAAACCGCUCCACUUCUGAUCAAAUCAAAGCCAUUAUUAUAUCUAAACACAACUAGGAAGUAUGAUAGAAAGCACUUGGAUGAAACUGUAAUGUUUUUGGUCCGUAGACACAUCUUGCAUUCAAUCAUCUAAAACAUGUAAGAUUCCUACAAAUCACUUUUGUACCAAAUAUUGUUAUCUUCUAUGAAGAGUCGAUAUGGGCUGUAUUUACAGAGUAAGUUGCAGCUAAAGCAGUCUACAAGAGCUGCCUAUCUCUGUUAAAUUGCCUACCAACACAAAAUGCACCAAGAUUAUCAAUAACAUUGGAAUGUUACUAAUUCGGUGCUUUGACGUUUUUGCUUACUCGCAAAUCUAAACAGGCUUGUCUCGUGAAGCCUAAUUGGUAAAUCUAACGACAAACUCAGACAGAGAUAUUAGAUAUAAAAUCAUGUAUCUCCAGUAAAACAUGUUUGAUGGUUGCUAAAUACAGCACCCAUAUGAUGUUUUAUCGUAUACAAGGUAAACUCAAACAUUCCAAAGGGGGUAGUAAUGCACUAAACACAACAAAUGUGUCUUCCACCGAACAGCCACAGUACACAAUAUACGAUUGGUAGCAAUGAAGUUAUGUAUAAUGUUUAUGUAUAUGCAUAUAAAUAGAUAUACAUGUAUAUUAGGAUUCUAUCAUUUUGAGGUCAAUCAUGAUGUAUGCAUGACCUAGAAUCAAGGGAUCAAAUUUGAGUGGAAUGAUAUAAUAUCGUAAGACAUUAAGUGGUCAUUGAGUAGAAAAUCACUCCAACAAUAGUUUAACCUUAUUUAGUGAUGAUUCACUACUCUUGUAAUGCUAUAAAUGAGAGCUAAUCCACGGAGAAAGGUAGAAGAGACAAGCUAGAGACAAGUCAUUGAGCUAAAGAGUGCAAUUUGAGAGAAUUUGAGCCAAAAUUUCAAACUUAGAGGGUUCUUGCAACGUGAUCUGAGGGGAUUGUCCGGCUUUGUGAUCAUCUUCCGACCAGAAGUCAGUAGCACAACCUUAGUUUGUCGAUUUACCGCACAUAAUCCUAGUAUGUAUCUAAAUUCGGAUUUUAUGAGUUUUAUGUGUAUUCUCGCUUGCAAAUAACACACACGAAAUGAUACUAUAAAGAAUAACAUGCAAAAAGGUCACUGUUAAUACCUCAAUGUAGAAAUCCUCAGCGUACAGCAGAGCAGCAAAGUAGUCUUUGUAAGUCGAUGGAGACAAUGGCUUCUCCAAAACGUGAGGCACGAUGUCUUUCUUGAUCAAAUCUUCAAUAUCCUCAGGAAUCUUGUAAUUAGAGGCUCCCUUCUCGUCCAAUAUAUAGCGAUCAUUUUCCUGCUGAUAUUUUGAAUCAGGAGGAAGCGGAGAAAGGGUAGGCUGAGAAGAUGAAGGCGCGUUCUGAGACAAUGGAUUCUUCAAAUCUUCAGGCUCAAUAUCUUUCUUGAUCGGACUUUCAAUAUCCUUGGGAUAGUUAGCUUUCAUCUGGUCCUUUGUUGGAUUAAAGCAGGGCGGGCACGGAGUGGGCUUAGAGGACUCAGGGAUGCUCGGGGAUGAUGAUGUUGGCACGGAAGGAGAUUGAGAUGGACCACAUGAAGAUGGAGAUUGCUUAGCAGAUGAUCGAGGUUGAUCAGAAGUAAGGGGAGGUGCCACGGGUGUAGAGAACGAGGAGCGUGAUUUAGAAGAAGGAAUUGAAGGUUUAGGACUAGAAGAUGAUGGUGGAGGUUCAGUUGGAGAUACGGAUGGCUUAGAAGGAACUGAUGCAGGUUUAGGGAGUGAUGGCUUAGAGGAAAAUGGAGGUUGUGAUGUUCUAUAUUUCAAUCUCGAGGACGCUUCAUCAGUUCCUUCCAUAAACUUGUUAACAUAUUCUGAUUCAAUAGACACAGCUCCAUUCCUUUUUGUAGUUGAGCUACUAGUUGGUAAAUUCGGGUAAUAAUCGUAGUACUUGAUUUGGGUUCGAUCAGAUUGGUCUUGCCGAUCGUUAUUCUCAUAACUAGAAUUCCUAACAGAAGUGUUACGUGAAGCUGAUCCGUGUGAAGGGUCUCCCUUCGAAGUCCGCAUUUCAGUUACAUGAUCUUGGUCGCUUGAAAUGUAUCGCAAAGUUUUUGCUAACACAUACGCUGUGCAGCCCAUGACCGCCCAUUUAAACAUCCUGCGGCGAAAGCAAAAUAAAGAAGAUUGAACACCAUUAAAGAAAUCAAUAAACUCAUGCAUGACUCUGUAAGUGCUAGUAAGAUGAAACUAUCCUGAAAUCAAAAUAAGUGAAGAUCAAAAGCACGAUUGAUUACCUUCUGGUUUUUUUGUUACAGAUGAGAACACUGGAACACAACUACGCAAGUGGUUUUUUCAAUUUGAUCUUCCUUUCCAAAGAACGAAUUACACAUGAAGUAAAAAGCACUCCAACACAACUCAAGAAUCAAAAAAGUUAAAAGCUUUGCAUGGGAGAUGAAAGCAUAUUGUUUCUUACAUAGAAAGAAAACUCAACCAAGUGAGGCCACGUCAUCAUGUGGACCCAGGUGCCAUUGUAGGCCUGUGGCUGUGUGCCUGUGUAGCAUAUAAAAAGGCCAAAAAGAGGGAAGUACAUUUAUUUAAGUAUUUUACAUAUUUAUUAUUGCUUUGUUAAAGCUUCUUUAUUAAAAUUUACUUUAAUUUAUUAAAGUUUACUUUGUAUAUAUAUGAUUACACUUAUUAAAGAUUUACUAUAUAUUUAUUAUUUUAAUAAAUUUUACUUUAAUUUAUUAUUACACUUAUUAAAAUUUAUUUUGUAUAUAUGAUUACACUUAUUAAAAAUUUACUUUAUAUUUAUUAUUAUUUUAUUAAAGUUUCUUUAAUAAAAUUUAUUUUAAUUUAUUAUUAUACUUAUUAAGGUUGCCUUAUCUUUAUUGUUGUUUUAUUAAAAUUACUUUAUUAAAGUUUACUUUAUUGCUUUGUGUUUGUUAAUUCUCGAAAACAUGGACUUGAAAGAAGGAAACAUAGAAUUAUUCCACUUCUUUCAUUAUUCAUCUUCCUGCUCUCCCAACACCAAAACCUAAAUUCUAGAUCUCUCAUAGCAACAUUCUCCAAAUCUUCAAUAGAGUUAGAAAUCUUAGUUAAUUUGGAAGCUUCUUGAUUUGGUGAGUCUUUAUUACUUAUGUUUUUAUUGUUUUGAAUACAUGCUUAACUAAUAAGUAACUUGAUUCGGAGAUUAUUAACAAAUCCCUUUGAUAAGAAUACUUUUGGUUUCUCGAAUUAAAUAUGCUGGAUUGAUCCUUCCGCAUGUAAAUUGUCUUUGAGUAGCUCUAGAAGAUACUAGACUUUACUUUGGUUUAGCAUUUUUCUUCUUUGCCAUAAAUAGAUUUAACCAAAACAAAAAAAGCACGCUCAAGAAUGCACAGUCUUCUUUUGGUUUUUGUUUUUGCUCCUGUUGAUAUAUGUUCUGGAGAUUGGUCUAGCAAUCUGAACCAGAAUUCUCUCUCUGUUUGUCCGGACAGAUCUCACAGUUCUUUAAGACCAAAUGGGUCAUUUGCAUGAAUCUUUUGGUGCCAUUCCACUAUAUUCCAGUGCAGAUUCCUCGUUUAUCUUCUAACAUGAUGUUCUUUGACUAUUGAAUUUUCCUUUCUCGGUUCUUAUUCAUGUUCUUUUGGUGCUUUCCAUACUGGGUUAAUACUUUGUAGCAACCCAUUCCUUGUACAUCUUGUUGAAGUCCAAUCAAUCUCAAAUAGUUUUUCCAUUUUCUUCUCAAUGCCACUUCAACCUACAUUUAAAACCAGUGUUGACUCUUUCCAUCCUCCAUGAGCACUUCAUCAAUACUGCACUCAAAGCUUGCAACUUUUUAUUGGAUUUGUUGUCCAUUUUUAUUUGAUACAACGGAUUUAAAAUGUUGCAAAACAAUACGUCAUCUCACCUACUACAAGGUGCCUCCAAUCUUAAUCAACCCUUUCUUGGUGUUGAGGGCUUUCUUUCUAGUAUAUCCGUCAUUCACACUUAGUUUGGGAUUGUUAGAGAAAGCUUAUUAAGUGACUAUGAAGAUUAAAGUGUUUUGAGUUAAUUCCUUCUGCUUAUUUUAAAGGACUUGAAUGUUUAUGUUAGCAAUUCACAUUUCUAUCACCUCUGUUGUAUUAUCAUCUUUGACAAUAACAGGAGUAUAAAAUUUCAUAAUGCAGGUUGCAACAAAAAAGAAAACUAUUUCAGACGAAGCUGCUGUAAUCUUGCAGGCAAAACUGAAGCAGUUAGCACCUGCUAGUUCCUCCUGAUUGCUGUAAUAUUUUAUUUAAUUAUUCAAUUUAUGGCUUCGGGAAAGAACUGCUUUGUAAAACUGUCAGUGUGAAACUUAAGGUCUUUUAUCUGCAUAACAAGUCGAGUGCUUGUUUUUCUGUGCUUUGUUUCAUUCAGAAUCCGGGAUGGUCUUCUCAGCUGAAAUCAAAUCAGACUUGGAUGUAGGCAUUCAGAUAUAUCAAUGUUGACAUGUAAUACACAGUGGGACGAUACUUUUAUUACCUUUACAAAUUAGUUGCGGUAAUCAUGUUUUUCACAUUCUACCUCUUGCCCCACCUUGUUUCUUCUGGUUUUUCAAGUUGAAUAUGGUUACAUCAUUUCGUUUAUCUAUCCCUUGUUUUGCUUUGCUAUAUCAUUUAUAUUCAUGCCAACUGCUGGUAGUAUCAUUUGGAGACUAAGUAAAACAAAUUAGAAGGUUAGAACUUCCAAAUUUGAAACAUUGUAUGUCAUGGUACAUCGGCUCUAAGC
rnacentral:lncRNA from 1 species